rnacentral:lncRNA from 1 species
AUGCAUGGAGAAACUUUGGAAGGAGUUUCUCUGCUACAGGCCAAUGUUUGUCACCUUUCAUUUGCAAACAUCAAGCUCUGGGAUUCCCUGCUGGACUCUGCCCCAAGCACUGGCCAGGGGCCCACUGGCUCCAAACCAGUUCUCUGCAUAGAAGGGUUUGCUCCUGGCUCCUUCACAGGGAGAACUCAGUUUAGAUUGCCUGAAUCCACCAAUAAAACUUGGAUUCACCAGACAGCACCAGCACCUCUGGGCACUUUUUCCCUUGUGGCAAUUUUUCAUCUUGAUACUGAUUGUGAAAUCUGAAUUUCCAGGAAAGAACAUUCAUCUUAAGUCAGGAAUUAACAAUAGUGUGCAAGUACUUUUCAGAAAACUGGCUUUAAUUUUUUUUGUAUUUGUAGUUAAGCUUCAAAGGAAUUAGCAAUAAUCAUAUGAUUUUUUCUCUUUGUAAGAGUUUUUAUUUAGAGUGGUGAAUCUUGUUGAGGGGGAAGAAAACUUUGAAGUAGUCAUUACAAGUAGGGGCUGAAAAUGUAUUUAAUAUUUAGGGGACAAUGAUAAAACUGAGUUUAAUUUAAAAAGAAUCUUAUAUUUGCCUCAAAUGAAGUGUGAACUCCAUGUGGAUAAAUUUGAGUUGUUAAUUUAGGGAGUAUGGUUUAAAAGAUGUUAAAGAGCUCCAGCUGUAGGGUGAUUGAUAGAUAAUUGUAAUUAUAAACAGGGGUCUGUCACUGCUGCACUUGCAGUCAGACUCACUUUGGACUGGAUUUCUAGUCCAAAAUGAAUUUCGUAUUUUCUUGGCACAUGGAUGUUCAGAGUCAGAUCAUUUUCAAAAGCUAAAACUUUGGUUUAGAACUGUGACUUUAAUGGUGACUGCCACGACAAGGAUGUACAAAAUGCACUAUUGGAGUAAUUGGAAUAUUUUCAAAGGCAGUAAUCUUUGUAUCUUGCAGAGAGUGGAACUGGAUUCUGUGCCAAUAUUGAUGGAAUACUGGUAAGCUUGUUUCAAUUAUUGUGAGGCUACUUGUGUAUAAGGACACUUAGUUUUUUAAAAUUAUAUAGAAAGUGUAAGGAUCACAUUUUAGCCUGAGGGGGUUAGGAUUCUGGGUUUCAUUUUGCUUUUUAAUUGCUAUUGGGAACCUGCAUAUACUGCAUUGGAAAAUGCUACUGUAACUGUCAUUUAUGUUCCCACAUUUAUGUUUCUACUGCCAUGUGAGUUACAAUAAAAUGUUGUAAGGAGC